rnacentral:rRNA from 1 species
AGGGGAUCGCAAGACCUUGCGCUUUUGGAGCGGCCGAUGUCUGAUUAGCUAGUUGGUGAGGUAAAGGCUUACCAAGGCUUCGAUCAGUAGCUGGUCUGAGAGGACGACCAGCCACACUGGGACUGAGACACGGCCCAGACUCCUACGGGAGGCAGCAGUGGGGAAUUUUGGACAAUGGGGGCAACCCUGAUCCAGCCAUGCCGCGUGAGUGAAGAAGGCCUUCGGGUUGUAAAGCUCUUUCAGCCGGAACGAAACGGUCACGGUUAAUAACCGUGAUCACUGACGGUACCGGAAGAAGAAGCACCGGCUAACUACGUGCCAGCAGCCGCGGUAAUACGUAGGGUGCGAGCGUUAAUCGGAAUUACUGGGCGUAAAGCGUGCGCAGGCGGUUUUGUAAGUCAGAUGUGAAAUCCCCGGGCUUAACCUGGGAACUGCGUUUGAAACUACA